AAAUUUAAUGGUUUAAAAACCCGAAUUGAAGACGUAGCUGGAAGAAGAAGAAGAGGGCGUGUAGUACUAAGGAAAAGAAAGCUGAAAAGGACACAAUUGUUUGUUACUCAAAAGGCGCUUGUAUCCUAAUUAUUUGGCGAGUUCUAUAUAAAGGGAAAAAAAUGAGCGAACGCGAUGGUCUUGAAGUUGUUAGAAAUCCAAAGAGGCCUAUCGGCGCUUGGAUACAUUACUAUAACGAUCAAUUAGCCAUGAUGAAAGAGAAGGAUAAAGGAGU